rnacentral:tRNA from 1 species
CAUUUGAUGACUGAAAGCAAGUAAUGGUCUCUUAAACCAAAUCAUAGUACAGUAGCGAAUACUUCAAAUG